GACAAAUCAAUGUUUUCUAUCAAAAUAUAUUGCCUGAGUGGGAAAGAACCUGAAUGGAAAGGCCGAGGUUAAGGCAUUGAAACAGUGUCUUAGUACAUACAGUACAUUAUUUUUUUGAAUAAUUUAUUGGGGUAAAUAAACGUCUUGUUUACAAAUCAACUGCACAAAUGAUCGGCAUCCCCAGGGGUUGGUCACCAGGAGGGGGGAUUUGUUACUUUUUGUACAAAAAUAAUAUCCCUCCAGGUAGGGAAAUUGUUUGCAUUUGGCCAGGGAGCAUUUGUAAUUUACCUAGAGGGGGGGGGGGCAAAGGUGAUUUUUGAGACGGGUCACAAUUUAGGGAACUAUAAAAAAUUACCUGAAUAUUAGGCAGGGAACCUUCAACAAAAACUUUCCCUUAGUUUUCAUUUUUGUUGCC